rnacentral:rRNA from 1 species
ACGAACGCUGGCGGCAUGCCUAAUACAUGCAAGUCGAGCGAACAGAUGAAGUGCUUGCACUUCUGACGUUAGCGGCGAACGGGUGAGUAACACGUAAGGAAUCUACCUAUAAGCGGGGGAUAACAUUCGGAAACGGGUGCUAAUACCGCAUAAUAUCUUCUUCCGCAUGGAAGAAGAUUGAAAGACGGCUCUGCUGUCACUUAUAGAUGACCUUGCGGUGCAUUAGUUAGUUGGUGGGGUAACGGCCUACCAAGACGAUGAUGCAUAGCCGACCUGAGAGGGUGAUCGGCCACAUUGGGACUGAGACACGGCCCAAACUCCUACGGGAGGCAGCAGUAGGGAAUCUUCCGCAAUGGGCGAAAGCCUGACGGAGCAAUGCCGCGUGAGUGAAGAAGGCCUUCGGGUCGUAAAACUCUGUUAUAAGAGAAGAACAAAUUGUAGAGUAACUGCUACAGUCUUGACGGUAUCUUAUCAGAAAGCCACGGCUAACUACGUG